CCGGUUCACUUUAACACUGAGGCGUGACGACGAGGCACUACGGUGCUGAAGCAACAAAUGCCCUGCUUCCAGGAAAAGCCUCUAAGCAUCAGGUAACAUCAAAUCGUACCCCAAACCGACACAGGUGGUCAGGUAGAGAAUACCAAGGCGCUUGAGAGAACUCGGGUGAAGGAACUAGGCAAAAUGGUGCCGUAACUUCGGGAGAAGGCACGCUGACACGUAGGUGAAGUGAUUUACUCAUGGAGCUGAAGUCAGUCGAAGAUACCAGCUGGCUGCAACUGUUUAUUAAAAACACAGCACUGUGCAAACACGAAAGUGGACGUAUACGGUGUGACGCCUGCCCGGUGCCGGAAGGUUAAUUGAUGGGGUCAGCGCAAGCGAAGCUCCUGAUCGAAGCCCCGGUAAACGGCGGCCGUAACUAUAACGGUCCUAAGGUAGCGAAAUUCCUUGUCGGGUAAGUUCCGACCUGCACGAAUGGCGUAAUGAUGGCCAGGCUGUCUCCACCCGAGACUCAGUGAAAUUGAACUCGCUGUGAAGAUGCAGUGUACCCGCGGCAAGACGGAAAGACCCCGUGAACCUUUACUAUAGCUUGACACUGAACAUUGAGCCUUGAUGUGUAGGAUAGGUGGGAGGCUUUGAAGUGUGGACGCCAGUCUGCAUGGAGCCGACCUUGAAAUACCACCCUUUAAUGUUUGAUGUUCUAACGUGGACCCGUUACCCGGGUUGCGGACAGUGUCUGGUGGGUAGUUUGACUGGGGCGGUCUCCUCCUAAAGAGUAACGGAGGAGCACGAAGGUUGGCUAAUCCUGGUCGGACAUCAGGAGGUUAGUGCAAUGGCAUAAGCCAGCUUGACUGCGAGCGUGACGGCGCGAGCAGGUGCGAAAGCAGGUCAUAGUGAUCCGGUGGUUCUGAAUGGAAGGGCCAUCGCUCAACGGAUAAAAGGUACUCCGGGGAUAACAGGCUGAUACCGCCCAAGAGUUCAUAUCGACGGCGGUGUUUGGCACCUCGAUGUCGGCUCAUCACAUCCUGGGGCUGAAGUAGGUCCCAAGGGUAUGGCUGUUCGCCAUUUAAAGUGGUACGCGAGCUGGGUUUAGAACGUCGUGAGACAGUUCGGUCCCUAUCUGCCGUGGGCGCUGGAGAACUGAGGGGGGCUGCUCCUAGUACGAGAGGACCGGAGUGGACGCAUCACUGGUGUUCGGGUUGUCAUGCCAAUGGCACUGCCCGGUAGCUAAAUGCGGAAGAGAUAAGUGCUGAAAGCAUCUAAGCACGAAACUUGCCCCGAGAUGAGUUCUCCCUGAGACUUAAAGUCUCCUGAAGGAACGUUGAAGACGACGACGUUGAUAG
rnacentral:rRNA from 1 species